rnacentral:rRNA from 1 species
UACGUAGGAUGCAAGCGUUGUCCGGAUUUAUUGGGUUUAAAGGGUGCGUAGGCGGCCUAUUAAGUUAGUGGUGAAAACGUUCGGCUUAACCGGAUACCCGCCAUUGAUACUGAUAGACUUGAGUGCGACAGAGGGUGUUGGAAUGUGUGGUGUAGCGGUGAAAUGCUUAGAUAUCACGCAGAGCACCAAUUGCGAAGGCAGAUGCCUAUGUCUUAACUGACGCUGAGGCACGAAAGCGUGGGGAGCGAACAGG